AGCGCAUUUUCGUCGUGAUUUGGAAGCGUCCAGCGUCGUCUCUCACACGCCACGCAGCUUGGCCAGAAAUUGUUUGACUGGGCGAUACCGAAGCAAUCGCUCACCUCAAAUUGAGUACUGGGCCCAGUCGACCGUCAUAGGCGCAUCGUCUUUAUUUGCAGGACAGCACUUAGUGUCAUGGUUUGGAAACAUCCGUUGGCGUCUCUCACUCGCCACGAAGCUUGCCAGUAAUUGCAUGUCAGUUGGCUUGGCGGUCACAGUAACGCAUUCAAUCGGCUCAAUAGUAAUGGAUGGCCUGGAAGCAGGCCGGUAGCGAUGCAGAUUGCUAGAUGGAGCCCAACAGGAGCUGCUGAGCUGUUGCCCACUUUGUUUGAGAGGGCGGUGCCGGAGCUGUCGCUCACUCCAGGUUGAGUAUUUAGCCAGCAGGCCGUCGUGGAGCAUGUCAUCUUCUUGGACAGCGCAUCAUCUUCGUGAUUUGGAAAUAUCUGGUGGCGUCUCUCACACGCCACGCAGCUUGACCAGGAAUUGUUUGUAUGAGCGAUACCGAAGCAGUCGCUCACUUCAAAUGAGUAUUUGGCCCAAUUUACCGUCGUGGGUGCAUCGUCUUCUUGGGCAGCAGUUCUGCGUCUUGCUUUAGAAACAUUCAUUGUCGUCUCUCACACUCCACAAUCCGUCCAGUAGUUGCAUGUCAGCAGACCCGGGUGGCCCGCAAACAGGCCGGUUGCAGUUCAGGAUGCUAGAUGGAGCCCACAAGGAGCUGCUGGGCUGUUGAAUACCUUGUUCGAGUGGGCGAUGCCGAGGCCGUCGCUCACUCCAAAUUGAGUUCCCAAACCUUGCUUGCAGGACAGCGCAUCAUCGUCGCGGUUUGGAAACAUCCAGUGGCGUCUCUCACACGCCAUGCAGUUUGGCCAGGAAUUGUUUGAAUGGGCGAUACCGAAGCAGUCGCCCACUCUAAAUUGGGCAUUCGACCAGCAGGCCGUCGUGGAGCAUGUCAUCUUUUGGACAGCGCAUUUUCGUCGUGAUUUGGAAGCGUCCAGCGUCGUCUCUCACACGCCACGCAGCUUGGCCAGAAAUUGUUUGACUGGGCGAUACCGAAGCAAUCGCUCACCUCAAAUUGAGUACUGGGCCCAGUCGACCGUCAUAGGCGCAUCGUCUUUAUUUGCAGGACAGCACUUAGUGUCAUGGUUUGGAAACAUCCGUUGGCGUCUCUCACUCGCCACGAAGCUUGCCAGUAAUUGCAUGUCAGUUGGCUUGGCGGUCACAGUAACGCAUUCAAUCGGCUCAAUAGUAAUGGAUGGCCUGGAAGCAGGCCGGUAGCGAUUCAGAUUGCUAGAUGGAGCCCAACAGGAGCUGCUGAGCUGUUGCCCACUUUGUUUGAGAGGGCGGUGCCGGAGCUGUCGCUCACUCCAGGUUGAGUAUUUAGCCAGCAGGCCGUCGUGGAGCAUGUCAUCUUCUUGGACAGCGCAUCAUCUUCGUGAUUUGGAAAUAUCUGGUGGCGUCUCUCACACGCCACGCAGCUUGACCAGGAAUUGUUUGUAUGAGCGAUACCGAAGCAGUCGCUCACUUCAAAUGAGUAUUUGGCCCAAUUUACCGUCGUGGGUGCAUCGUCUUCUUGGGCAGCAGUUCUGCGUCUUGCUUUAGAAACAUUCAUUGUCGUCUCUCACACUCCACAAUCCGUCCAGUAGUUGCAUGUCAGCAGACCCGGGUGGCCCGCAAACAGGCCGGUUGCAGUUCAGGAUGCUAGAUGGAGCCCACAAGGAGCUGCUGGGCUGUUGAAUACCUUGUUCGAGUGGGCGAUGCCGAGGCCGUCGCUCACUCCAAAUUGAGUUCCCAAACCUUGCUUGCAGGACAGCGCAUCAUCGUCGCGGUUUGGAAACAUCCAGUGGCGUCUCUCACACGCCAUGCAGUUUGGCCAGGAAUUGUUUGAAUGGGCGAUACCGAAGCAGUCGCCCACUCUAAAUUGGGCAUUCGACCAGCAGGCCGUCGUGGAGCAUGUCAUCUUUUGGACAGCGCAUUUUCGUCGUGAUUUGGAAGCGUCCAGCGUCGUCUCUCACACGCCACGCAGCUUGGCCAGAAAUUGUUUGACUGGGCGAUACCGAAGCAAUCGCUCACCUCAAAUUGAGUACUGGGCCCAGUCGACCGUCAUAGGCGCAUCGUCUUUAUUUGCAGGACAGCACUUAGUGUCAUGGUUUGGAAACAUCCGUUGGCGUCUCUCACUCGCCACGAAGCUUGCCAGUAAUUGCAUGUCAGUUGGCUUGGCGGUCACAGUAACGCAUUCAAUCGGCUCAAUAGUAAUGGAUGGCCUGGAAGCAGGCCGGUAGCGAUUCAGAUUGCUAGAUGGAGCCCAACAGGAGCUGCUGAGCUGUUGCCCACUUUGUUUGAGAGGGCGGUGCCGGAGCUGUCGCUCACUCCAGGUUGAGUAUUUAGCCAGCAGGCCGUCGUGGAGCAUGUCAUCU